rnacentral:rRNA from 1 species
GAUGAACGCUAGCGGCAGGCUUAAUACAUGCAAGUCGUGGGGCAGCAGGUUUGCAGCAAUACAGAUGCUGGCGACCGGCAAACGGGUGCGGAACACGUACACAACCUUCCUUUAAGUGGGGAAUAGCCCAGAGAAAUUUGGAUUAAUACCCCGUAACCUUAUGAUGUGGCAUCACAUUAUAAUUAUAGCUACGGCGCUUAAUGAUGGGUGUGCGGCUGAUUAGGUAGUUGGCGGGGUAACGGCCCACCAAGCCUGCGAUCAGUAACUGGUGUGAGAGCACGACCAGUCACACGGGCACUGAGACACGGGCCCGACUCCUACGGGAGGCAGCAGUAAGGAAUAUUGGGCAAUGGAGGAAACUCUGACCCAGCCAUGCCGCGUGGAGGAUGAAGGUCCUCUGGAUUGUAAACUUCUUUUAUAUGGGACGAAAAAGGGUCUUUCUAGGUCAACUGACGGUACCAUAUGAAUAAGCACCGGCUAACUCCGUGCCAGCAGCUGCCGUAAGAC